AGAGCGAACGCUGGCGGCAGGCUUAACACAUGCAAGUCGAGCGGGCGUAGCAAUACGUCAGCGGCAGACGGGUGAGUAACGCGUGGGAACGUACCUUUUGGUUCGGAACAACACAGGGAAACUUGUGCUAAUACCGGAUAAGCCCUUACGGGGAAAGAUUUAUCGCCGAAAAGAUCGGCCCGCGUCUGAUUAGCUAGUUGGUGAGGUAACGGCUCACCAAGGCGACGAUCAGUAGCUGGUCUGAGAGGAUGAUCAGCCACAUUGGGACUGAGACACGGCCCAAACUCCUACGGGAGGCAGCAGUGGGGAAUAUUGGACAAUGGGCGAAAGCCUGAUCCAGCCAUGCCGCGUGAGUGAUGAAGGCCCUAGGGUUGUAAAGCUCUUUUGUGCGGGAAGAUAAUGACGGUACCGCAAGAAUAAGCCCCGGCUAACUUCGCGCCAGCAGCCGC
rnacentral:rRNA from 1 species